AUUAGCAGAUUUUUUACCCAUUGAAGAUUUUUCUUGAGGACUAAUUAAAAUAGCUUUCCCUUUUUUCUUCAAAUCUCUCUAAGUUUUCUUAUUGAUUUCCUCCUCCGUUGCAAUCAUCUCCAAGUCUAUUAGUGAUUGAUAACAUGAUCCUAUAUUUUUCUCCCCUUUAAAAUUGUUUCCCUUUUUGAUCCCAUCCAAGGUGCCACACUUGGUCUUCAACUCCACCAGCAUCUAGGGACCAUAGUCUCUUUCUCCAACCACUGCAGGAAUUACAGAAUUUAUUUCUGACGUCUCACCCUUCUCUUUCGCCCCUGGGGAUUGUGCGAACUGAUGGAUAAGUUUCCUUGGCGUGUCCAUAGCAACCACAAUUAAAGCAAACCACAGGUAGGUUUUUGUACUCGAUCCUUUGAGGGCUACCAUUGUUGAGAAUCUUAGAGAUUAAUGGUCGCCUUAAAUUGACAUAAACUACCAUGCGAGCGUAACAACCUCGCGGUCUGUUACCUGUGUUAAAGUCUAAUUUUGUUACUUUACCUAUCAUUCCCCCAAUCUUCGUAAGAAUCUGUUUUUUGUAUAAAUGAUUGGGAAGACCAGGAAAACGUAUCUAUGCGAGGACCAUAUUAGGGUAAGGUAAACUAGGAUUGAAAUCGAUCGUCCAGGGUUGGACGGUUAGGUAAUGACCAAAAAUAACUCACGGACCCUAAGAUAGAAUCUUGUCAUAGUCGUCAGUGCUCUGAAAUUUUGCAAGAAAGUAACCAUUCUCAAUAUCCAUUAAUUGAAAAGGCUUAGACAGUCUCCAAAUCCCAUGUAAUCUAUUAUGCAGAGUCAUGAUACCAAGGUUUCGUCCCACAUUUUGAGUACCGCAGAGGUUAACAUUUCCUUUUCCAAAAGCUGAUAUACUCUCUCCAAGAAAUCAAUGGAAGGAACACCAUCAACAAAAGAUUUCUUGACAUUCUGCUUUGUGAGAGAGAAAUUAUCAGCAAAAAAUUGACCAUCACUUGUAUUAUUUUGAACAAUAGUUUCUUUCCCCACUAGCAUAUCCUUCCAUGACAUAGAAGGCAUUGGUUAUGGCUCUACAACCAUCACAUCUUCAGGAAUCAUGUCCGACUCCUUAAAUCGAACCUUCUUUGUAUUAGAAUCCUCAAGAAGAGAAUCACCUUCUUCAUUCCUGUCUGCAGUAGAAACCGAAGAAGACGAGAGCAUUUUUUUUCUUUUCCAAAAAUCUUUAAAUGUGCAUAAUAUGUAUAAUUUAAUGCUUUUGAAUAUUAUAAAUUACUAUUAAUUACUAAUUUAUCUCUUAAUCCAAG
rnacentral:lncRNA from 1 species